CUUGACCGACCCGAGCCACAGGGGGCGGUCGGCCGUGCGGCCCUGCCCGUAGGUGGCGAGGAGCGCCUGAGCCUC
rnacentral:antisense_RNA from 1 species